rnacentral:tRNA from 1 species
UUAAAGGGUAGUAUAAUUUAUUAUGGACGAUUUACACUCGUUUGAUGUUCUGGGUAGGGCCCCUUUAAU